rnacentral:rRNA from 1 species
GAUGAACGCUGGCGGCGUGCCUAAUACAUGCAAGUCGAGCGAACAGACGAGGAGCUUACUCCUCUGACGUUAGCGGCGGACGGGUGAGUAACACGUGGAUAACCUACCUAUAAGACUGGGAUAACUUCGGGAAACCGGAGCUAAUACCGGAUAAUAUAUUGAACCGCAUGGUUCAAUAGUGAAAGACGGUUUUGCUGUCACUUAUAGAUGGAUCCGCGCCGCAUUAGCUAGUUGGUAAGGUAACGGCUUACCAAGGCAACGAUGCGUAGCCGACCUGAGAGGGUGAUCGGCCACACUGGAACUGAGACACGGUCCAGACUCCUACGGGAGGCAGCAGUAGGGAAUCUUCCGCAAUGGGCGAAAGCUUGACGGAGCAACGCCGCGUGAGUGAUGAAGGUCUUCUGAUCGUAAAACUCUGUUAUUAGGGAAGAACAAAUGUGUAAGUAACUAUGCACGUCUUGACGGUACCUAAUCAGAAAGCCACGGCUAACUACGUG